CAGUUUAGUUCUGGUCCGAGAGGCCGAGCGUGUAGAUAGUCGUGUCGCGUCGUGUUCAGAAAGAGAGCCGCGUCUCUCGAGCCACAACACACUCGACGUGCAGUGUCAGACGCGCGAGGCACACGCACAUACACGCACCUCUACAUAUAUGGAAUAUCAUAGCGCACGAGCGCUGCCGCUGACGACGCUGCUGCUGCGUAGUCGUUUCGCAAGUAUCGUCGAUAUUCGGAUGCCGCUGUGUUUCGUCGCUGCUUCUUCUCCUCGCAAGGCUUUCUCGAGUCCGAAGAGGCGCGAUUACGUGCCACCGCUGCUGCCGCCUCCGCCACCACGACCUUAGAAUCUUUUAAUCCGCGGCAAUAAAACAAUUAAAACAGAAGAACGAGAGAAUCGCUGGCGCUUUAUGAUAGCUUACCGCGAAUAAGUGUUACAUGCUGCUGCUAUGCCCGUGCGAACAUAAAAACAAAAAUCACACCUACGUUCGACGUGUUGACUUCAAGCCAGUGUGUGUGUAUGUUUGUGUGUACUUUAUGACAGUGAUAUACGGUGAUUGUUUUGAAUCAGUGACAGCGAUCGAAAUCGGUGUAAAUAUUUUGCAUUGGCUCUUGGCUGAAAUUAUCUCUGGGUUCAUUCGUGAAUAGUCGCGUUGUGUACGCGAGACAAGGACAAAUAGACAAACUGUGAUAUUAGUUGCGACUAUACAACUGCAAGCAAUCGACAUCGAUGUUGUGUUUCAAAAAGUGAACAUCGAUGCAGUCAAUAUUGUUUAAAGUUCUUCGUUCAUUUAGUGCAAUUUAGUGAAUAUUUUAAAUAGACUAUUGCGCUCCGACUCAUUGACACUACACAUGUGCAUAUCGAGUGAAAGCGUCAUCGUCGAACAUUUAGCCAUAUAAUACAUGCAGUAAACUUAUGUAAAAGAAAAAGUUGAAUCAAGACACGGUAGCUAAAGUGAGUCUGUUUCUGUUCUGUUUUAUUCUCGUCUCUGGAACGCUGUGUCGAAAAAAAAUCAACCUUAUCCCAUCCAAUGGACCUACUCCUCAACUGAUCAUUACAUUGGACUGGACUGCAUCGUCACUGGGAUCGUCUCUGCGUGUGGCUGCUGGCUGCAAUCGUCGAAUUUCGCAUCCGUCUCUCGCGCGUGUGUGUGGAAAAACCAAAACGCUACUCUGUUCGAUAUCCGUGUGUGCUUAUGUACACGCGUUGCUCGUUACCUCGCGGCUCGCUCAUCCUUCAACCCUUUCCACUCGAUCGUCUGCGGAAUUUCGCUUGACAUCGCUGUUGCUGCCUGUCGAAUAAUCCCUACCCUCGAUCCCGUCGACUGUGCCCCUGUCUCUUUUCCUUCUCGCUUCUCUCUUAUUUCCUUGCAUUCGUCUGGCAUCCCCUCCAUCUCGGGUCUCUCGACUCGUGGCCUGCUCACGCACGCACGUACACACAAACAUUCGCGUCGUUCUCGUCGUUCUCGUUUGACAUCAUCAUCAUCCGUGGCGCAAAAAUAAUAAUCUCUCACCGACCAUGACGCGGGCCCGUCGUUGACGACAUCGAACGACGAUUCAUCAACGAUCGCCGCCACACAUCCUCUAUUAACUGUGCUGAAAAUCGCUAACUCGCCUCUCGGCUGGUCGUCCCUCGUCGCGCUCUAAUCUCGUCUGCGCUCGUCGCCUCGAUCAUCGGCUAACUAACGUCAACAUCGGUCGUGCCAAAUCCGCGCGAUUUGCACCAUCUCCGACCACGUGGCGUGCUCAACGGCCACCCUGUACGACAAUGUGCACGCGGUGCCGCUCUGCGGCGCCGGCGUUGCCCACCACCCUGCCUCCGUCACUCCAAUGGGCACAGCCACCGGAGCGGGGAAUUCCGCCGGGUUGACCUCCUGGUGGAACAUGAUGAAUGGGGCGCCGUACGAAGACAGUCCGCCACCCGUGACGGCGCCCGCCACAUCCCUGGUUCCCCUGCACCAGCAGCACCAGCAACAGACAGCGGUCAACCAACAGCAGCAACAGCAGCAGGCGGCGGUCAAUCAACAACAACAGCAGCAGCAGCAACAAGGCUCCAGCCCAACGUCCCCGGGGGUCCCUUCGUCGGCUGCGACGAACCAGCAGCAGCAGCAACCCGCACCGGCCUCGUCGUCGUCGCCGAGCGCCUCCUCGGUGGCAUCGAACGGCACCACAGGACCGCUUCACAUACCGGCCAAGAGGCUAACGGCGACUCCGGUCGGUCAAACCAGUGCCGGUUCGGCUUACGGCGACGUCGGCUGCGAGCCUAAUGGUGGAGUGAUACGGCACUCGACAGCGGGCAACGGCCAGGGUUGGUCCAAUUACAGUCCUCACCACCAGCAGGCGCAAGACGGCCACUACGUGGGCAGCGGAGCCGACUCGUUGAACCAUCACCAGUCGUACGGGGGAGCGAACCCUCCGACCUACUACACCAAUCUGGCGAACGAUCCGAGCACGACCCCGACGCGCGAUCGCAAGGUCGGACUGAACUUCUGGUCGCCCGUAGGAGCGUCCGGAGCCACGACUACUGGAAGCGGCUCGGCCGCGCUCACGGCCACCACGACGGAGUACAAAUACAAUCCGGCCGCGGCCGGCAUAGCCACCACGAGCUCGUCGACGGGCUCGUCGAGCGUAGCCGCGGCCACCGAUCAGACCGUCAGCAGCCACCCCAGCUUCUCGCAGGGCUGGGGCAACUAUUACGCCAGUCCUCGGCAUCAUCACGGUGGCAUAGACGGAGCUGCGUUCGGGGCGCACCAUCACUCGCAGGCCUACCUGACGUCCUCGACGACUGACGAUAAGAGUCGCGUGGCGUCCAUGGCAGAGGCUGCUUUCUCACACGACAGUUACGGUGGACUUCGGAACUACUGCCCGGAACCAGUCACCUCCAGCCCUUAUCCACCACCAGUGAUGUGGGGUUCCUCCCCAUCUUCUUUGUUUCCAGGCAGUUCGAUCGGCGUGAACGUUGGAAAUUGCGUCGUCGCCAUGGGCUCCUGUCGAGCCGAUCCCAACCCGCACGAAACUUGGGUCGCUCAGGCAUCGCAGCGCAAAAAGCGCAAACCGUACUCGAAAUUCCAAACGCUCGAGCUCGAGAAAGAAUUUUUGUUCAACGCUUACGUGAGCAAGCAAAAACGAUGGGAGCUAGCGAGGAACCUCAACCUAAGCGAGAGACAAGUCAAGAUAUGGUUCCAGAACAGACGGAUGAAGAACAAGAAGAACACGCAGCGCCAGGCCCAGCAGUCCAACAACAACAACAGCAACAACAACAACAACGUGCACUCGACCAACGCGAACCACCUGGGGGUCGUGCCGAGCAGCCAUCCGGCGGCGUUGCACCACGUGAGCCAAGCGCACCAUGCCAACGGCUCGAGCAAGCACCACCAUCAGUGACCCGUAGUUUUCUCUGGAGUCACCUUCGCCGGUGGCUCCAGCAGCUCCGGCGUAAGUAGCAGCUGCAGCAACAACAUUCAGUGAGCCCGUCUAAAUUGGCUGUAUAUAUGACAUAUAAUUAAUAGAUGUAGAUUCGACGGGAGCACAGGAGAGACUAACUUUAGUGCGAUGGUGUUCUUGUGCGGCAGAGGACCUUUUUAUUAUUUUACGAUGUAUUAAUUGUAUUUAGUUGAAGUUUAUAUAUAAAUAUAAAAUAUAUCCUAUUACGUACGGGGACGAAGUGCAAAUCGUCGCUGGGUUGAGUGUGAGUGCGUAUAUAUGUGUAGUGAUUCAGAGUUAGCGUGUGCGAGAGCGUUUGUUUGUUGUAGCGUGUACCUUACGGUACAUGAAAAGCAUAAUUAUUAACAAACGACUAAAGUAUUUAAGCUAGGUAAAAAACGUAUUGUUUAGAUAAACAUGAAUGAAAAUAAAAACUUAGUAAUAGUUGAGCGCGUUGACUGACGAUGCCCGACAAUUCGAUACGCGUAUAUACAAAAUAUUCAAAUAUUACAGGAUUCGCACCCUAUUAUCCUAGGUAAAAAAUCAACGCAAGGUCGCAUUGGAUUGCUUGUUUGUUUUAGACGUGAACUGAUUUAUAUAUACAUGUAUGUAUUAUUAUCUCAAUGGUAUGUAGUAUUUCUCUCUCACUUUUAUCCCCUAAGUAUGAUACGUACUUAAGCCUAGCUUAUAAAAAAUAAUAAUAAUAAUAAUAAUUAUCCUGAGGUUGCGCGAUUUACACGACUAAAGAAAGUAACAGCUUUCCACUAGGGUUCGAAACAAAGUCAACAGACGUCUCUCUAAUGGAGAUAGAAUUGCUAUUGAUACAGUCCCAACUCGUCGAGUUCCGCAUUCGAGUCCCAAAGUCUAUAUGCUUUGCUCGUGGACAAGUUGGAUCUAUAUUAAUAAGUUCGUCCGUGUAGUUUGAAAAAUUGGCCUCGUUCGAAGCGAGAUGUUCACCCUAGUCUUCCUAAACGAAUUGUAUAAAACGAAAUUAAUAAAAAAUAUAAUAAUGCUUGAAAUCACUUUCAUAACUUGUAAAGUAUUUCCUCUUCAAGAUAUUAUUGCUAUAACCCAAACCACAAUAUGUAUGUUAGAUUAGCUUCAAAAUUUUCGCACCCACCAAGCUGGAUGGACGGCGUUUUCAUGACAAACUGUAUCACGCUCAUAAAAUCAAAGGUAAGCUUUCAAUGAUUUUUCAUGAUUCUUGCUCUAAGUUUGUUAGGAAUUGUUUACAUUUUUCAAAAAAUCUAAACAAAUUCAUUCGUUAAAACUUUUUGAUGUUAUUUUUGAAUUCAAAAUUCGUGCAAAUAUCGAGUGUCUGAUUAAUUUGCUUGAAAUCGUCCAUCCAAUCUUGCACAUUUUCGCUAGUUAUAUUUUCUAUAUGUAGACAAAAACACCUAUUAAAAUUUACGUAGCGUAAGGUAUAAAUGAAAACUGAAAGUUUUAGCGUUUUGAAUAAUUUUGAUACAUGUAGAUAUUUUAGAUGCUCGCGAAAAGUUGCAAUAAUUGCAUGUACCGUUUAAACAGUUUGUGCAGGUUGAUUCGAGAUCGGGGAGCAAAAUUUGCUAAUUUAUGAAAUAUUUCAAAACGUAUAACUCAUGUGUAUAUUGUUAAAUAAAUAUUCGUAAUGUAAUGCUAAGACGCAUUGAUCUCGGGUAAUUAAAGUUUCCAAUAACUAAUCCUUUUACAAUAUCUUGCCUAAAGACACAAAAUAUUACAAUAUAUUAUGGCCUCUAAUACGAAUUAUGAAAGCAAUGGAAGCUUCGUUUGGUGUAAUAAGUAUUAGUACUGUAAAAUACACUCAAAUUACAUAAAGAGAUUUGUCGAUAUUCUGUGCGUUUUAAACAUUAGCGGGUUUCGUAAGCGUUGAUUAAAAAAAUGAUAUUUAUGUAGGGAGUGAACGCGAUGCUCGAUGACAUAACGAGCGAGCAAUCCGUUUCCCAGCAGUAUACAUGUAUUUAAAGUGAACAGCGUUGUACAGGCAAUUGCACGAUAAUAACCAGAUGAAUUGAGUAUUUUCUUCUGUCUUAAUAAGAUACGACCUUUGAGCAGGAAAAUUUACAAAAAAAUGCGACGAAAAUUUGUAAUUUCAUGCAGAUUCGAGAUUCAAAAGUCGAAUAGGGCAAAACCGAUUAAGAUAGCAGGGACUACUCGAAUUCAUCAUGCUACUGAUACUGCAGAAUUGAGGACAACAGAAAAAAUUACGUCGAGCAACAGGAAACAAUAGUUAUUUGAUACGAUAUACAAGUAUUGAUUAAAUAUAGUGAAUGAAAAAUUGAAUUUAAAUAAAAAAAACGACGAUAAAAUGAGGUGAAGAUUUUUGGUUGCGACCCAGUCAUCGCGUUUAACUGAUUUCUUUAUGCGAAAGUUGUAAUAAUUUGUAUUUUUUACGAUGAUGACACAGUGUUUAUAAAACGAUUAUCAAGAUUAUUAUCGACAUGAUUAUUGUAAUAUUAUGAUUAAAUAUUUUUAAUUAUAAGCGACGUUAAUAUUAUGUUAUUGUUUUUAUUGUGUGUUGUUUUGUAUAUGUACCAAUCUGCAAAUUGCGUCGACGAAAAAAGAAAUCAUUCAACUGCUAUAACAAAAAACGUAAGGUGUUUUUAAAUGUGUAUAUUAUCCUAUUGAGUUCGUUGCUGUAGAUAUUUCCACGUUAUUUUGUUUAUCAUAAUAUUAAAUAUGAUUUGGAGCUUAUGUAUUUUUCGAAUACCUGUUUCCCACCUCAUUGUUGUUCUUUUUAUAAGAAAAUACAUAUAUCGAGAACAAUUGAA
rnacentral:misc_RNA from 1 species